UACGUAGGGUUCAAGCGUUAAUCGGAAUUACUGGGCGUAAAGCGUGCGCAGGCGGUUAUGCAAGACAGAUGUGAAAUCCCCGGGCUCAACCUGGGAACUGCAUUUGUGACUGCAUAGCUAGAGUACGGUAGAGGGGGAUGGAAUUCCGCGUGUAGCAGUGAAAUGCGUAGAUAUGCGGAGGGACACCGAUGGCGAAGGCAAUCCCCUGGACCUGUACUGACGCUCAUGCACGAAGGCGUGGGGAGCAAACAGG
rnacentral:rRNA from 1 species